ensembl:lncRNA
GUGAGCUUUCAAUUUCUCUGUGUGGCUCCUGUUUUCAAACGCAGUCUCCAAGUUUGGGAAAGUGGAUAACCAGACCAGAAUGUGUGGUCUGUAGGACAGCAGUAUCUUCUUGCUGAAGUGCUUGCGUCACAAGCCGCUGGUUCCAGCAGUGCCUUACGGAGUCAAAGGUGAAGGAAAUGCUGGAAACGUGCCUGAAAGGCCAUGCUGUUGUACCUGGGGCUGGAAAUGCCAGGUCACAGCCCUUCCCGCAGAUGCCUGGCCGUGGAGGGGAGGGUGGAAAAUGUGUCCAAGGACUGAUGGAGUAAGAUUCGUAUUUCAUGGCAAGGAUAUUAGGAUGUGAAAUAAAAUGCAUAUUCUAUGGCAAGAAGAGAAAAAUUGAAACAGAAAAGAUCUUCUCUGCCCUUUGGCCCCUCUCUUCCCCCUGCUGUGCACCGUGUAUCUGCCUUGUGCCUGGACCAAACCUCUACCAUCCACAGAAAUACCUGCUCAACUGCAACGAACAGUGUUCUCCUAGCAUCUUUUAUCUUUUAAGACAAUGCCUUAAAAGAUAACAUUCCUUCCUGAUCUUCCAAGGAGUCACAUGACCCACCUCGAUGGCGAUUAGAUCCAGAUCGUGUAAACUGUCAAUAAUGCGUCGCUUUGAUGCACGGUCCUCGGUCUCAAAAAGCUUAUGUGAACUGCAUCUUGACUUCUAAUGAGCAGGACGGUUCUUGGAGCUUUCUGAGAAUCUCUUCCUGGAUUAUAAUCCUCAAAUUUGGCUUGAAUAAAACUUUCCAAUUCUUUCUUAGAUCGACUGAUUGUGCUUUUGUCUACACGGAGAAGGAACACCUAGUUGGCUGAUGCUAAAGAUAUCCAAGCAACCA